rnacentral:rRNA from 1 species
UACGUAGGGGGCAAGCGUUGUCCGGAAUUAUUGGGCGUAAAGCGCGUGUAGGCGGCCAGAAAAGUCCGCUGUGAAAACUCGAGGCUUAACCUCGAGAUGUCAUCGGAAACCAUUUGGCUAGAGUCCGGAAGAGGAGAGUGGAAUUCCUGGUGUAGCGGUGAAAUGCGCAGAUAUCAGGAAGAACACCAAUGGCGAAAGCAGCUCUCUGGGACGGUACUGACGCUGAGACGCGAAAGCGUGGGGAGCGAACAGG